UACGAAGGGGGCUAGCGUUGUUCGGAAUUACUGGGCGUAAAGCGUAUGCAGGCGGAUCGUUAAGUCAGGGGUGAAAUCCCAGAGCUCAACUCUGGAACUGCCUUUGAUACUGGGUAUCUUGAGUAUGGAAGAGGUAAGUGGAAUUGCGAGUGUAGAGGUGAAAUUCGUAGAUAUUCGCAGGAACACCAGUGGCGAAGGCGGCUUACUGGUCCAUAACUGACGCUGAGGUGCGAAAGCCGUGGGGAGCAAAGCAGG
rnacentral:rRNA from 1 species